GUGGUUGUGGCUCAGCGGUAGAGCGCUCGCCUAGCAUGUGCGGAGCACUGGGUUCGAUCCUCAGCACCACA
rnacentral:tRNA from 1 species